UCAGUCGACUCCUACGGGGAGGCAGCAGUGGGGAAUAUUGCACAAUGGGGGAAACCCUGAUGCAGCCAUGCCGCGUGUGUGAAGAAGGCCUUCGGGUUGUAAAGCACUUUCAGUAGGGAGGAAGGUAGUGUAGUUAACACCUGCACUAUUUGACGUUACCUACAGAAGAAGCACCGGCUAACUCCGUGCCAGCAGCCGCGGUAAUACGGAGGGUGCGAGCGUUAAUCGGAAUUACUGGGCGUAAAGCGCAUGCAGGCGGCCUGUUAAGUCAGAUGUGAAAGCCCGGGGCUUAACCUCGGAAUUGCAUUUGAAACUGGCAGGCUAGAGUCUUGUAGAGGGGGGUAGGAAUUUCAGGUGUAGCGGUGAAAUGCGUAGAGAUCUGAAGGAAUACCAGUGGCGAAGGCGGCCCCCUGGACAAAGACUGACGCUCAGAUGCGAAAGCGUGGGGAGCAAACAGGAUUAGAUACCCCUGGUAG
rnacentral:rRNA from 1 species